rnacentral:rRNA from 1 species
UACGGAGGGUGCAAGCGUUGCUCGGAAUUAUUGGGCGUAAAGCGCGCGCAGGCGGUCCCUUAAGUCUGAUGUGAAAGCCCCCGGCUUAACCGGGGAGGGUCAUUGGAAACUGGGGGACUUGAGUGCAGAAGAGAAGAGCGGAAUUCCACGUGUAGCGGUGAAAUGCGUAGAGAUGUGGAGGAACACCAGUGGCGAAGGCGGCUCUUUGGUCUGUAACUGACGCUGAGGCGCGAAAGCGUGGGGAGCAAACAGG